UCUCUCUCCCUAUGCUCUCUGUCGCCGUCUCCAUUUUUUAACAGAGUUUUUGUUAAUUUCAUAUGAGCUUUUUUACACAACAACUCUAGAUCAGUAGAAUUAAACAUCAAUUUUCAGUGGAUUCAGCUUUAUCCAGUGUCUUUUUUUUUCUUCUCAAUCUCUUUGUUUCCUUCCAAACCUUAAUCUCUCUAUUAUUCUGUUCAAUACAUGUCGAUGAUGGCGGGUAUACAAGCAGUGCGAUGUUCUCGAGGUCACUGGUCUGAUUACUUUGUAUCAUCUUCUUAUUCAAUGAUAGUUGGGACGAAUGGAUAAGUCUGGACUGUCUGUUGAAACAUACAGAUGAAGAAACAUACAGAUGAAAAUAUUGAGAAACAGAAGGAACAGGUUAUGAAGCAUCAAGACUGCUACGGCUUGGAAAAGUCACAAAGAUGAAACUUAGAAGCCCUAAUGUUGCUAGAGGAAGAAAGCGGAAGCAAGAUUCGGUUGACACGGAGAAGAAUGUGGUUCCUUCUGACAACCUUUUAAGUUUCCAUAUCCCACCGGCAUUAAGGAAACAACUAAUUGACGACUAUGAAUUUGUUACUCAGAUGCACAAGGUACUCAUAAUUAAUGUGCUUAUUUGUAAAUGAAGAACACCCUACAUUAUCUACCAGCCUGUACUAUGAGGAUAAGACCAAUGAUUCAUGUUCCUGUUUGUACUCCUUCUAAGUCCUCUGCUCCAUUGCCUCCUCUGUUUCCUCUAAGGCUACACAAAAACAGAGUAGAGAGACGAACUUGAUGAACAUCUUUUGUGUGGUUUAUAUUUAUCCUUCCUUAAUUUGGUUGGGUUUUGUGAUUAGCUGGGUCUUUGUGAUUGAGAUUUGAGGUGUGACAGUGUAAAUUUGAACAUUUUCAUACCCAGGAGAACAAUAAAGAAUUUAUCAUUAUUGAAUCCA